UGGGGUGUUACAAAGACCAUUUGGGUGAGGGUUCCUAAGGGUGCAGGUCAUGCUCACAGAUACAUGCCCCCUGUCUUCUGAAGUAAGCCCAACUUUAGACCUUCACUUUCUAUGGAGGAAGUGAACCAGCUUUCCAGGUAAGAGAGGCACGCCUUUGUCUAUUUCUCCAAGGUUACUGAGCCAACAGUCCCUCUUGGCUGGCUUCCUGAUGCUUCCAAUCUGAGGCAAGACAUCUGCUUGCUUACAUGUAGUUACUUCCUAACUUGCUAAUUUGUCUCUCUCUUUGUGCUUCUGGAGGAAUCUGUAAAGAAGGUGGAUUGGAGGAUGCUUGGGAUUUCUCCGUUUGUUCGGUAUUUGCAUUAGCCUCCUUUGACUCCUUCAACAGACACUUUCAAAGAAUACUGCCUCUGGGGCAUGUUGAGCUAUGUGAGUUCCUCUCUUUUGGUUCGUAAGUAUGCAUAACUCUUCUGGAGGUGAGAACCCAUUUGGACUUGAGGUGUUUUUCUUUUCUCUCUAUUCUUUGCUUAUUUUGUAACUCUUGUAUUUGUUGUAAUGCCAAGCUGUAAGACAAAGAGGACUUAACCCUCUCGGGUAGAUGCUGCUGGUGCUGUUGAUCCACCAGUUCCCUAGAUGAUGUUUAAAUGAGAGGGGUAGAUCCUCUGGUCAGGAGGAAAGUGGAACAUGCUCCUGAUGUCCCUUUUCCAACUGAUGGGAGGGAGUUGCUGAAGAGGUGGCCUAACUUAUUCCUCUAACUAGGUCCAUAUCUCUGGGAUUUUCUGUUGUCGGGUUUAUCUCUUAAGAUUCAAAUUCAUCUUCGAAACCGGGGAUGUAGUUUCCUCUUCCCCUGUCUCAUCUCCCCCGAUUCAGUCUACACCUGCUCUGGAAGCUAUACUAGUGUCUCCAAAGCAGGUCCUUCUUUUAUCAACGUGGUGCUCUUCCUCCAUCAAUUGAUCUUGCUGGUAUCCAGGACAGGGCAAACAUCAUUUGGAGGACCUUGAAAAGGAGGGGGCCAAUCCCUAGAAACUUAGGGAUGAGACCUCUUAUCUCAACAAGAUAUCCAGCAGUAGGUAUCUCCUUCUCACCAGGAGAUGGACCAAAUUUUCUUGGACUCUCAAAUUUUUUAGAUUAGAUGUAAUUUAGGUCUAGAUAUAUUUAGGUUAAAUUCAUACUAGUUUAGCUAAUAAAACAAAAGUUUAAUGAUUAAAAUUAAUAAGGUCCUAAGAAUGUAUUAAUCGAUAAAACGCAAGCUUGAAAUCAAUUAGAUUGUUUUUAGUUAUAUUAAAGAUUCCAUUUCAUAUAAUUGUGAGAAUAAUUGAUUUCUAUACUAGUAUUAAGUGAUUUCUGACAUUAUAAACUCUUUAUAUUAUUAAUUAAACCUCGUAUUUUCAGCCUUAGUUUAUUUAAUUAAUAGGCUUUAAUAUAUAUUUGUAUUGUUAUUUUGUGUUGCAUGAU